AGCAUAUUUGAAAGUUUUUGGUUGGAAUUUGGACGGCGUCCCCUUGGCUCUUUCUAAACAUAGAGAGAGAGGGCCGACCAUCAAUCACUAAGAGUGACUCUACUGUCAUUAUCAAUUACCAAUGGAUUUAGGGCUAGAUAGGGAUAUCUACAGCUUAUCCACUUUUGCGUGACAUCUGGAGAGUCUCUAGAGGUUAUGUCUC
rnacentral:lncRNA from 1 species